UGUAUUUUUCGAGCUGUUUUCACGUCACGACUCAAUGUAAACGGCGAAGGAAACAGCAUUAGCUUGCAGCACUACUAGUAGUGAAGUUAUUCAAUCUAAAUGAAUGCUACCUAUAGUCCUUUCUUGGACCGCGACACGUUCCUUUAGCUUAUUCUUAUGCAAACGCUUGUCUAUAGUAUUGUUACAGACUACCUCGUUCGUAAUUCAAGACACGCAACAAGAACUAGCCAACAGAAGCGUGCCGCGAAACACACGCAAUCGACGGAAGAGCUCCCAAAAUUGGUUCGCCUGAAAGGUCGAGUAAUGUGGAGGAGAAAAAAUGGCAGUGAACGUUUUUUUUUUGUUUUUUACGUAAGGAGCGCUCAAUAACUGGACACAGAAAAUGCUUUUUUAAUACGUCCCUUGCCGAAACAAAUGAACAUUUUGUCAAGGGAAGUCAAUGAGGGAGUAAGCGUGAUUUAUUUGAUUUCAUAUAAGCUACAAGAGCAGUACAACACUGGUCUAAUUGAAAUCCACACCUGUGAUGUAAUACGCUUGAACGUUUAGCGAUUGAGCACGUACUUGAAAGCCUCGUUAACAUUAACCGACAGCGUUCUGAGCAAGCAGAAACAUAACAACGCACAAGUUCGUCACCGCGUCAAGUAGCAUGGCACAUCUGGAUGUAUCAAAACACCAGUUUUAAUCGGGCUUGCAUUAGGGUUUAGGUGGGUCCCGAUUGAUCGAAGAGUUCGCGGUUUGUCAAGAUGUGGCACAAUAGGGUCGCAAACUUGCAGCUGUGUUGAAUGUGCAGCGACAUUGUGCACAACGGUGCCAUAGAGGCUCCGUUGCUUACACUGCCUCCCUCGUCUUGAUCGUCACUGAACUAUAGGAGCACUCAGCUGGAAGCUCGAUGCGGCCGUAAAGGACAACCUCACCGACCACAGCAUUUCUUACAUGAAACUCAUUAUCGACAUUUCUUAACAUUUCCUUGAGCAGUGCUCGCUUACAGUGUUUUCUUGAACUCCUUUUUUUUUUUCUCCGCGCUUCACUUGAUACUUGAAGCAUGACAUCCCUGCAAGCCCGUUGCAAGAUGGUGAACUCGCAUGUCGUUCUGAGAAAGCUAAUUAAUUUGUAUAAAGCAAAUCACUUUCGAGACAUUUGUACCUGCUGUACAUGAGCGACAAAGAAAUAAUCCGCAUACACUGAGGCCUUGCGCUUCGCUUUCUCCAAAGACUGCGCGCACGCUUGCACGCAAUGUGGUGUCACCUCCGACCCCGCGACAGCGACGCGCGUUAAGGCGCUUCCUUUGCGUGCGAGCUCCUCGCGUGACAGGCCUUCUCUGCCUCAAAGCGCAGCCAGUCCCUCGCGAACCACGGGCGCGUGCGUGUCUUCGAGCGGCCGCGAGCGAGUCUUUGGACGAAAAGAAGCAAAAUGCAAGUCGGAUUUGAGCCACAGAUGCAGCACGCUCACUGCCGUUUAGUCCACUCACCGGCCGAGGCGGCGCUGUUGCCGGCGGCGACCGGAGGUCACGUCACGUCACCGCGCGCUGGACAACAACAAAAAAAAAAAAAAGAAAAGAAGAAGAAGAAAGACUCCGGGGUGUUGUGGACGGGGGAGUGGUUUACGCCGGCCGAUUACAGCCCCCGAGGCGCGAGCCGACGUUGGGGGGGGGGAGGCUUUCCGCCGAGCGUGCGCCCGUACAUCGCCGAUGGGCAAUGAGCCAUGCCCAACCAGAGCGCCGGGUCCACCUAACAAUAGGCUGUCAGAGAAGGGAACCGUGUGGGAAAAGCGCCGGCAGCAGCUGGCCCUCCUCGGCGAUGGCUGUGCGCACACGCGGACACGAGCCAGGUCGAUCGGGGCGGCUCAGCUGCACUUCGCGCCGCUGCGCGAGUCCCGAGCGACGGACUCCGUAGCGAGUACGCAGGUGCAACUUCGGCUGGUCAACCGAAAGAUGUCGAAACAAAUUUCGUACGCAUGGCCAAAGUCAACGAGUGUUAACGGAGUAACACAUGCAGCUUAACACAGAUUGUAGUGCAAGCGGCGACAAUACAAACGGUAGACGUCGUGUCCACUCUGUUAGCAGGAGCAUUUAUAGACUAUAUAUAUGACAACAUCACAAAAUUGUUACUACGAGCACUGUGAGAAUGAAGUGUACUCCGCAGUUCCACUGACCUUUAAUAAAGAAGACGGCCAGCUGCAACCAUGCCAGAGUGCUGACUACUUGAAGUGCAGCGAAUGGAAGCGCAUCGCAUCAAGAACAACAGUCGAGGAAUGAACCUCAUCGCACGAGGUGGUCGCGGGCGUUCAGUUUCCCACGUUCCAGAAAUAAAGAAAAGGGAGGCCUUAAGUCGCGUGGCUGCGACUAAGAUUUAAUUUAGUGCAUCCUCCUGCAUACUUCCCAGAA